CAUGGAGAAGGAGGGAAGAGGGAAGGGAAGGGGGAAGUAAAAGUUGGUAUGGAUCAUUUACAAGGAGAGAUUCAUCAAGUCCAAGACUGUGACCUGGUCAUCUCACCUCCAGACAAACUGUUUUUGAAAAGUGUUUCACAGAACCAACGGGAGCUAUACUAAUGGGAAGUUGCAUGUGAUAUGUGCUAAUGAUCAAAAUAAAGAAAGUGCUUCUCAUCAUUAAAAAAAAAGAGAAACCAAACAGUCCCUGGCUGGAAAUUGUUCUGAGGGUUAAGUAAAGUCGUGGAUGAAAAGUGAUGGCAUCUAGUAGGUGUGUGAUACUGGUUCCCUGUCUCUUCCCUGUGGGAUACUGGUACAAAUAGAUGGUUGUGCACAGCUAUGCACAUGCUGUGUAGUUAAGGUGGCGCUACAGCACACAUACAGAUUCACAGGACAGCAGGGCUCCACUUACUCAAGAGGUGAAAGGAGGUGUGAAAGUUGCUGAGAAACUAAGUCCAGUUCACGAGCCUGGUAGAUGAGUCUUUCCAGUGUCAAAGCAACCUAGGCUCCAAGGUUGCGUUGGGCUUCUACAUUCUGUGACUACCCUGCCCCACCCCCACCUGCUUUGAGGCUAUGCUGGCUGCUCCCCAUGGUCUCCCAAACAUGCCAAGCUCACUUUCCGUUCCAUUCUCAGAGGCAAGACCCAUGGUGUUCCCCCAUCUGCAAUCAUAAUCACUCUUCAUUUACAAAGCAUUAUCAACAUUCUAAAAGCUUUCCAAGCAUCUCAUACCACAUCUUCCCAAGCCCCCUUGGCAGGAGUAGGGUGGGGUGUGUGUGCUAAGGAUCCUCUUCAAAGACUCAUAGCUUUUAUAGCCAAAGGAUGGAGGCAGCAGAGAGGUGAAUAACUUGCCUAAGAUCACUCUGCUGGAUCACAGGCAAGAGAGAUCAGAACUCAAGCCUUCCAAGUCCUGGUCAAUAGCUCUUCCCCACCCUUUGGUAAACAAAUUGUAGCCCUUGCCUUAGAAAAGCUCACAUUUACUAGGGCGGAUAAGCAUGUAAUAACAAUCAUAAAAAUGAAUGCCUGAAGGUAGCCCAUCUGAAAAGGCUAGUACUGUAUGAUUCCAACUAUAUGAUAUCCUGCAAAAUGCAAAACUAUGUUAAUAUUAAAAUGAUCAGUGGUUGUUAGAGGGUUAGUGGUGGUGGAAGUGAGAUGCAUAGAUGGAGGAGAGAGGAUUUAUAGGGCAAUGAAAAUUCUCCGUGUGAUAUCAUAAAGACGGAUACAUAUUAUUAUAUAUUUGUCCAGACCCAUAGGAUGUACAGUAUGAAGAGUGAACCAUAAUGUAAUGAUGGGAGUUCCUGUUGUGGCACAGCGGAAAUGAAUCUGACUAGGAACCAUGAGCCACAACGGGAGCUCUGAAAGUCUUUAUUUUUUAAGAUAGAUAGCCAAAAUCACGUUGGAAAAAAGGAGACAAAAAUGCCAGCAAUGACAGAAUUAUGUACAAGCUACCAAAUUAGCACAGGGGAGGGAUGGAUGAACUCCAGUAAUUAAUUUUGUAUAGAGGAAGGAGGUCAAUCAGGUAAGGCUUCUGUUCAGGAUUUUGAAAAAUGAAUAGGAAAUUGCCAAAGAGAAGAUGGGAGUUGACAGGGGGGACCCAAGCAGAGAAAAGUGCACUUGUGAAAGCACGGACAUGUUGAAUGGAAUGGUGUAUUUGGAAACUCAUAAGUCAUUCAAGAUGGCUGGAUGGCCAAGUUCAACAGGAAGUGACAGGAGGUAAGGCUGGAGAAGUAGGUGGGGUCUGAUCAUGGAAGGUCUCUAAGUUGUGGUAAUAAGGAACAGUAUAUUUACCCUAGAAACUGGUGCUUUCCAAACCUCAGGUGAUCCUAUUUUACAUUCUCAACUUUCUCCAUUUUCAUCUACCACUUAUAUUACUAUUUACUUAAUCAUUUUAUUAAAAAAUUCACUUUAAAAUGCUUAAUCUUGCCCUAAUAAAAAAGACAUGAGAAACCAUGGGUCAGAUGUACUAGUUACAUUUUUUUUCCUGAUACACAUUAAAAUAUGAACUCUGAAAGGUUAAAAAAAAAAGGUUUGUCUAU
rnacentral:lncRNA from 1 species